rnacentral:lncRNA from 1 species
UAGACUGAAUUGGGUGACUAAAUACAUUUGUACUAUAUAAUUUUAGUGAUUUUAAAAUCCAGCUAACUUUGCAAACUUGGUUUGGAAAUCUUGUUAACCACUAAUAUAUACAGCCAUAUAGAUAAAUGGAUGUUUAGUUCAUUAGAUACUUAUUAACUGACAAUUAACUGUUUUUAAUAGGAACAAGAGUUUGUUCAGAAACAACAGCAAGAAUUAGAUGGCUCUCUGAAAAAGAUCAUCCAGCAGCAGAAGGCAGAGUUAGCUAAUAUUGAGAGAGAGUGCCUGAAUAACAAGCAACAGCUCAUGAGAGGUAAUUUUUUUAAAAUUAAGAAAUACUGCAAAAUGUAGAAUUCCUUAUGACAGUAGAAGUGAAUGUAAACAUAUAACCCUUAAAAUUUCUUCUUGCCCUGAUGAUGCUGGAAAUAUAUCUGAAUAAUUUUGUGUACUCAUUAUGCCUUAUAGUUGUUAGUAUACCUAAUGGUCGUGUGUUAGAAUGGGAUUUAAAGUACUUAUCUUCCCUAACAAAUUAGCUUAGAUUUUUUUUUCUUUCUUAUUAAGAUGAUUAAAUAGGAUUUUGGUGUUCGGAGUAGGACAUUCUCUGUUUAUACGACAUUAGAACAGUCUGGAAAGAGGUAAUAGAUAUUGCCUUACAUUG